GAAUAAAUGGAAAUUUAGAGUCACAGUUAUACAUUCAACUUAUGUCUUCUCUUUUAAGCAUUUUAAACUACCUCUAUUAUAUUGAUUUUUAGAAGAAUUGUUUUCUAAAGAAAACUGCUUCCUGAUGUUGGCGCAAGAUAUAAAGAAUAGGAUUUCCCAGAGGAAGAGACAUUUUUAUCCCAGUAAUCCACAAUAAAAUGGGGUGUAGAGAGAUGUAUCCAGAGCUGCACAGCUAGUGGACGUCUGAGCAGGAGCCACAUGCAGAAGAGUCUGACUCCAGGGCCUCAGCGUGUAAUGCCCUACACCUGCUGCAUGGGUUUACAUUUCCAGCUGCUUUAAAAAAUGCAAUUAUAGCCUUUUACCUCCUCCUCACCAGAUACUCUCUACAGGGCAAGUUCAUCAAACUGUGUGCUUAGAAGCUCUGGAGCAGAACUCUCACCCACCAGAAGAUUGCCUCAAGAGAAAAAAGAUGAUUUACAACCCAAAGUAUGCCCACUAGAGUUUUUGGCCGUUUUUACAAUGUAUUCCUGCCCAUGAAGAUGCCAACUUGACUGCCCAAUACAUAAAGCACCAAAGCAAGUAUGUGGACCCCCCCACACCUCCUCACUUCUGCUCCUGUGUAGGCCCCCAUCUUUAAAAGCACUUACUUUCUCCUGCAAAAGCAAAUCAGACCCUUAAAGCAGGAAGGCUUUUCUUCUUCUCCUAAACUAGCUUUGGAAUAAAAAGUUAUUUUCUUUAUA